rnacentral:rRNA from 1 species
CAGUAGCCGCGGUAAUACGUAGGUGGCAAGCGUUGUCCGGAAUUAUUGGGCGUAAAGGGCUCGCAGGCGGUUUCUUAAGUCUGAUGUGAAAGCCCCCGGCUCAACCGGGGAGGGUCAUUGGAAACUGGGAAACUUAAGCGCAGAAGAGGAGAGCGGAAUUCCACGUGUAGCGGUGAAAUGCGUAGAGAUGUGGAGGAACACCAGUGGCGAAGGCGACUCUCUGGUCUGUAACUAACGCUGAGGAGCGAAAGCGUGGGGAGCGAACAGGAUUAGAUACCCCCGGUAGUCCCUGUCUCUUAUU